rnacentral:rRNA from 1 species
AUACGGAAGGUCCGGGCGUUAUCCGGAUUUAUUGGGUUUAAAGGGUGCGCAGGCGGCCAUUUAAGUCAGCGGUUAAAUCGUGGGGCUCAACCCCAUUCUGCCGUUGAUACUGGGUGGCUUGAUUGCGGUCGAGGUUGGCGGAAUUCGUUGUGUAGCGGGGAAAUGCAUAGAUAUGACGAAGAACACCGAUCGCGUAGGCAGCUGACCAGACCGCAAAUGACGCUCAUGCACGAAAGUGCGGGGAUCGAACAGGAUUAGAUACCCUGGUAGUCCGCACAGUAAACGAUGAAUACUUGUUUUCGGCGAUAUAAUGUCGGAGGCAAAGCGAAAGCGAUAAGUAUUCCACCUGGGGAGUACGCCGGCAACGGUGAAACUCAAAUGAAUUGACGGGG